AACCAAUGUUUAAAGACUUAACUCUCCCCUCCAAUAUAUUUCAGGAUGAUGCAGAAGACGCCCCCCCCCCCCAAGAAGUCCCAGCAUGUCACAUCAGCAUCCAGCUAAAAUGAUACUGAAAGCAAAAUGCACAGCGAACUUGGGAGCUGUGAACUGGGAAGCAGAUGUCCUUCUAAGGGACACCCUAGAUGCAACAAACAUUUAAAGGCACCGUUUCCCUCCCAGGUGUAAUUGGGAUCUACAGGGAAGAUCGCAUUACAACCCUGAAAGAACUACGGUUGUAUGAUGGCCUGGAUGAAGAGGAAAAUAUUCUCCUCAAGGAACCAUUAAUGUUACAGAGAGAUUAUGAGAUGUUCUAUGUGGAGGCAGUUGACAACAACAACAUUAGUGUCUUUGCCUCUUCUGAGGAGCAGGAGUCAAGCCAUUUUUGAGGAGUGGUCAAACCUUGUUUUUGUUGUGUUAAUUGUUUCAGUUGUUAAUUGUGUUGUUUAGUAAAGAUGAUGUAA